CCUAAAUGCCCAUCGACAGACGAAUGGAUAAAGAAGAUGUUGCACAUAUAUACAAUGGAAUAUUACUCAGCCAUAGAAAGAAACAAAAUUGAGUUAUUUGUUGUGACGUGGAUGGACUAGAGUCUGUCACGCAGAGUGAAGUAAGUCAGAAAGAGAAAAACGAAUACUGUAUGCUAACACAUAUAUAUAGAAUCUAAAAAAAAAAAAA